CCGGGCCUCUUUUUCAUUCCCCCUGCCGCUUGUAUAUCACACAAUUUGUUUUGUUAUUCUGCAGCGCACACAAGCUUUUUUCUUGCUCUCAUUAAUGUUCUGUGUUGGCAUGUGAUUUAAUUUUUUUCAGCACAAGCUUCAUUUAUCUCUAAGCAAAUACGUUUAAUAACAAUAAUGCUGCUAAAAAUAGCCACCCAAAGACCUCUUCAGUGCGAUUCUAAUUUACGCGUCUCAGUAGCUGUUUCUGCAAAUUUUUUGUUAUCAAUUAAGGCUGUUAUUUUGAAAUCAACUUGAGAAAACUUUCCAUUGACCGAACGAAAAUCUUCAAUUGUGUUUGUUUGUAUGUGCUGUAUAUGCAUAACAUACAUAUAGCACUGUACGCUGAUCAGUGCAUGUUAUCACAAGUCAAAUUGUACAGUACUGUACAGUACUUAAUUCUUGUUAUAGCUAUACAUAUUUUUAAACUUUAAAAGAUGAUGAAAUUUAAGAUUCACAUAUUAAAUGAGGAUGCUUCAGAGCAUCGAAUUUGUCUUUGUUUUGUUGUUGUUGUAGUGGCAUAAAGUAUGCUGGCGACUUGACUGUUUUCGAACUUAUAAUAUGUUUCGUCGGUUCUGGUUACAUAGGAUCAACUUUUUUCAUAUCGAAUUAAUUCUAACCAAAACAUAAGUAAUGUUAAAUAGGGUAUAUCUGAUAGCAAUUUAAUUUUCUAUCACUGUACUGUUUCUUUUCUUGUCCGUUUUGUUAAAUUUUCACAUUCAGCAAUUCAAAUUGAAUUAUUUCAAGCGCAUACAAGUGAGUCCGCAAUUUUCCAUAAUUUUCCUGCUUCAAAUUCAAAUCGUUGUUAUAUUUUAAACAAGUAAGGAAGGGCUAAGUUCGGGUGUCAUCGAACAUUUUGUACUUUCGCAAUUUAUUUAUUUCAUUUUAUUAAUAUAACAUACAAUUAGACUCACAUAUUCGUCCAUUGAAAGUUUGAAAACUCUAAUGGACUCUAAUAAUGGGUAUAUGGGAGCUAAGGGUAGUUAUGACCCGAUUUCACUCAUUUUUGGCACGGAGACAUAUUAUUAGAAGAAACAAAUCUCCUCUGAAUUUCUUCAAGUUAUCUGAGAGACUUACUUAUAUUUUCGGUAAAAAAUUAAUUCGAAUUGCAUACUUAUGGUCCGAUUUCGCCGAUUUUUAGAAGGGCGAUGCCACACUAUGCAGAAUUUGUGCAAAGUUCUGUACCGAUAUCUUCAUUAGUGCUUACUUUAUAUAUUGUAAAGUAAACGAUUCAGAUCGUCUUCAAAAUUCUGGUAUAUGGGAAGCAGGCGUGGUUGUGAAUCGAUUUGGUGUAUAUGCAUAACAUAUAAUAGAGAUACUUAGUAGGGGCGGGCCAAGUACAUCCAAAUAUGCCUCUUCAUUGUGCGAUCCUUUGUACCAAAUUUUACUCUCAUAACUUUAUUUAUGGCUUUGUUGUGGCUUUAUGUGUUUUAGGUUUUCGCCAUUUUGUGGGCGUAGCAGUGGACCGGGUGUUACAAACAACCGUUAUGUGAACAAAACUGUUAUACUAUCCAAGCAACUUUGUUGCGAGAGUAUAAUUACAUUUUAUUUGGUGAAAAUCUUAUACACUCAUAUAAAAUCGUCAAUUGCCAAAGGGCAGAGAAAAUAACUAUUUAAAAUUGGCUUAAUCGGUGUUCAAGGAUCUUAAUAAAUAAAUUCAUAGAAUGUCUCGAAAAAAUCUUUUACCAAUUUCAUGAUAAGACAAUAUCAAAAACGUGGCUUUACUUUUUCCUAAAUAAGCAAAAACAACCCAGAUUUAGCAGUACACGAAAGGACUAAGGAUACCCCGACAUUGGGUCGACCAUGGUUCUUUUUUUUAAAGCGCUGUCGAAGGUCACCAAUUCAUAAAGAAUUCUAACAAAAACUAUGAAGAGAGUAUAUCAAAUGAAACUUCAUUUUCUAUAACGUAUUAUAUAUCAUUACAGUAGAAUCCCGAUUAUUCGAACAACGAUUAUACGAAUUCAUUCGUCUCGGCGGUAUUUGUCAGUUUAAAAAUGUUUUGACGACACAACGAGUCAUAUUCCUAUAAGGUUUGAAAUAACAGAAGCAAUGACUGCCUUUUUUGAAGGGUGCGAUGAAGGGAAUAUUAAGGAGUGACUGAACUGCGUUAAUGAUGACAAUGGGUUACUAAUAUACUACUAAACCGAAAAUUAUGUCGUACUUAUAGAACUUUUUUACCUACUACGAAAAUAGCACACGGAUGAUGGAAAGGGGCUUGUCGUACGCGAUCAUUGAUGUCAAGAGUGAAAGACACUUGGUUCCAUAAUAUUAAAAUAACUCUGCCUCAAGUGGUUUAUUUAAUGGAUCAAUUUUUAUCCAGCGCUACCUCAUACGACUGGUAUAAUUACUACCGAAAAGAGGUAGUAUAGUAGGUCAACAAGUAGCGGAAGGUAAAAUUGGAGUUCAUUGUGAAAUUGUUCAAUAGAUGGGAGUGAAUUCGGGAAACGUAAAUUCAACAAAGGAAGAUGAUUGGAAGGCCACUGUGAGGAGACGACUGAAUAUCCAGUCAUUGGACAAUUUAACGGUUCCUCAUUAAAUAUAAUUUUAUAAUUACCUAGAUCCAUUUGUAAAAUUAGUCAAGUAAUAAAACAAAACAAAAUUUCACAUUUUAAACUUUAAACGCGAGUACCUCGAAAACUAUAAGUUUGCUGCGGCUAUUAUUAAUAAAUAUUUUUAAUCUGAAAAAACUCAUCUAUCCGACCAUGCCCAUUUUAUCAUUCGUGGGAUAAUAUACUAAACCUGAAAAUCGUGUAUAAACGAUGAUAAAACUGUGACGAAAGUUUAGAGAAUAUACAUUUUGAAAAGGGGCCUAUCCGGUGUGGACGAAUGUUCAAAGAAUCUGUAAUAUAUUCAUAGAAUGCAUCGAAUAAAUCUGCUUCCAGUUCCAUGAUCGGAAUAUUUCAGAAACGGAUUAUAGCAGAAUUCAUAUGUUAUUGAGUAUUGUUAUCAGCAUGAUCUUAUUUUCAUGUUCAUAUUCGGAUUAUAUGUACAUAUGUUAAUAAUAUUUACCAUAUGCCCAUUUGUAUUAAGAAUAUUGUUUAUAUCGCCGUCAUAUACUUACCGAUUAAUGUGCGGUUUUCAAAUUGUCAAAUGACGCUCAAUUGACUUUAGUCUUCGAUGCGUUCAUAAAAUUAGACCCAAAGAGUCGAGAAAGAAAACAAUGAACACAUCAGUUUAAUAUUUAUACUCCCGAAGUAAAUUAAAUCAGCCGUUCUGGCCUUGAAUGAUUCAAAUUACAAAAACUUGUGAUUUCCAAUUGUGGAGACAUUUCACAACAAUGUGUUUGACAAACACAAUUUUUCUUUUAUUUUGAGGUUGCUUAGUUUGUUCGAAAACUAUAGCGACUACAACUGUAUGUUAUGACUAAAAUUUCAUUCAGGCAGGCUCUGUAAUUUACUUUCGAGUGAAUUUCAAGCAAAUUCAUUUUCCGUCUGACAAUUGGAGUUCUGUGUUUCACUUUCACUAGUUAAUUUUCACAUUUUUUUUUAAAUGAAUUCCUUGUGGAAAUGGAAGUUCUGAAAAUAAUUGUUAAUUGUCAAAUGGAAAACAUAAGAAUGCAGAUCAAGAUGAAAUAAUCGAUUCAUGGAAGCUCAGAGAGACAUCGCCGGAGGCGUCACAAAGACGACGGGAAUAAAGGCCAGCCAAAGGAGAUUAGUUUUGGAAGGACGGAAAAAGAUAUUUCUGGCUGGAAAAAGCUAAAAAUUAUAAGAAACCUGGGAGAAAGCUUAUAGAUUAAAGCUUUUCAAAAUAUUUUGUCUAAAUGACUGUUAAAAAUAAAUUAAUAAAAUGGAAAAUAUUAAUAGAAACACGCGAAGUUUGGGGACAAAAUAUUGGAAAACUGCGAGGAUCUUUCAAUAAAAUAAUGUUUUGAAAAAUAUGUGCGCGCAGCUCGAGAACGAGCACAGUAUAUGUUUGACCACGGUGGAGAUAAUUUAACCAAGAAAUAUAGGCAAGAAAAACGAAAAAUUGUAGACGGGGUUCUCCGUCAAAGUGGGGUUAUAUGUACAUAUAUAAAUAAGAGACCAAAUCAUAUCAGGAGAAAUGGAGGUGGUAAGUCAACAUUCACCAGGCAAAUCAAUAUACAUAUGUAUGUAUACGGAACCAUCGUUCAAGAAUCGCCCGAUCAACCAUCAACUAGUGAUAUUUGUAGAAGACCACAAAGAAGAAGAUUGUUAUUUUGAACUAAUGAAGUACGAACAAAAAAUGAUGUAACAUUGUUUGGACAAAUCGCUAGAAAAUUAAAAUAAAGUUAUAAAAUUACUCGAAGAAAAUAAUAUGUUACUUUCCGCUUUAAUAAAUAAAAAAAAUUGAAAA